rnacentral:rRNA from 1 species
UUUCAAGGUGCUGCACGGUUGUCGUCAGCUCGUGCCGUGAGGUGUCGGGUUAAGUCCCAUAACGAGCGCAACCCCUAUUCAUAGUUGCUAACAUUCAGUUGAGGACUCUAUGGAAACUGCCUACGCAAGUAGAGAGGAAGGUGGGGAUGACGUCAAAUCAGCACGGCCCUUAUGCCUAGGGCUACACACGUGCUACAAUGGCCGGUACAGAGGGCAGCUACAUAGUGAUAUGAUGCAAAUCUCAAAAGCCGGUCUCAGUUCGGAUCGAAGUCUGCAACUCGACUUCGUGAAGCUGGAAUCGCUAGUAAUCGCAUAUCAGCCAUGGUGCGGUGAAUACGUUCCCGGGCCUUGUACACACCGCCCGUCAAACAAUGGAAGCUGGGGGUACCUAAAGUCCGUAACCGCAAGGAGCGGCCUAGGGUAAAACUAGUAACUGGUGUUAAGUCGUAACAAGGUAAAGGGC